rnacentral:rRNA from 1 species
AGGGAAUCUUCGGCAAUGGACGAAAGUCUGACCGAGCAACGCCGCGUGAGUGAAGAAGGUUUUCGGAUCGUAAAACUCUGUUGUUAGAGAAGAACAAGGAUGAGAGUAGAACGUUCAUCCCUUGACGGUAUCUAACCAGAAAGCCACGGCUAACUACGUGCCAGCAGCCGCGGUAAUACGUAGGUGGCAAGCGUUGUCCGGAUUUAUUGGGCGUAAAGCGAGCGCAGGCGGUUUCUUAAGUCUGAUGUGAAAGCCCCCGGCUCAACCGGGGAGGGUCAUUGGAAACUGGGAGACUUGAGUGCAGAAGAGGAGAGUGGAAUUCCAUGUGUAGCGGUGAAAUGCGUAGAUAUAUGGAGGAACACCAGUGGCGAAGGCGGCUCUCUGGUCUGUAACUGACGCUGAGGCUCGAAAGCGUGGGGAGCGAACAGGAUUAGAUACCCUGGUAGUCCACGCCGUAAACGAUGAGUGCUAAGUGUUGGAGGGUUUCCGCCCUUCAGUGCUGCAGCAAACGCAUUAAGCACUCCGCCUGGGGAGUACGACCGCAAGGUUGAAACUCAAAGGAAUUGACGGGGGCCCGCACAAGCGGUGGAGCAUGUGGUUUAAUUCGAAGCAACGCGAAGAACCUUACCAGGUCUUGACAUCCUUUGACCACUCUAGAGAUAGAGCUUCCCCUUCGGGGGCAAAGUGACAGGUGGUGCAUGGUUGUCGUCAGCUCGUGUCGUGAGAUGUUGGGUUAAGUCCCGCAACGAGCGCAACCCUUAUUGUUAGUUGCCAUCAUUUAGUUGGGCACUCUAGCGAGACUGCCGGUGACAAACCGGAGGAAGGUGGGGAUGACGUCAAAUCAUCAUGCCCCUUAUGACCUGGGCUACACACGUGCUACAAUGGGAAGUACAACGAGUUGCGAAGUCGCGAGGCUAAGCUAAUCUCUUAAAGCUUCUCUCAGUUCGGAUUGUAGGCUGCAACUCGCCUACAUGAAGCCGGAAUCGCUAGUAAUCGCGGAUCAGCACGCCGCGGUGAAUACGUUCCC